CUACGUAGGGUGCGAGCGUUAAUCGGAAUUACUGGGCGUAAAGCGUGCGCAGGCGGCUUUGCAAGACAGAUGUGAAAUCCCCGGGCUCAACCUGGGAACUGCAUUUGUGACUGCAAGGCUAGAGUACGGCAGAGGGGGAUGGAAUUCCGCGUGUAGCAGUGAAAUGCGUAGAUAUGCGGAGGAACACCAAUGGCGAAGGCAAUCCCCUGGGCCUGUACUGACGCUCAUGCACGAAAGCGUGGGGAGCAAACAGGAUUAGAAACCCUAGUAGUCC
rnacentral:rRNA from 1 species